rnacentral:rRNA from 1 species
UAACUUAGGGAGAAGGGGUGCCUACGAGAGUAGGCCGCAGUGAAUAGGCUCAAGCAACUGUUUAUCAAAAACACAGGUCUCUGCUAAAGCGUAAGCUGAUGUAUAGGGGCUGCCGCCUGCCCGGUGCUGGAAGGUUAAGGGGAAUAGUUAGCGCAAGCGAAGCUAUGAACUUAAGCCCCAGUAAACGGCGGCCGUAACUAUAACGGUCCUAAGGUAGCGAAAUUCCUUGUCGGGUAAGUUCCGACCCGCACGAAUGGCGUAAUGAUUUGAGCACUGUCUCGGCAAUAAAUCCGGUGAAAUUGUAGUGCAAGUGAAGAUGCUUGCUACCCGCGGUUGGACGGAAAGACCCCGUAGAGCUUUACUGUAGCUUAGCAUUGAAUUUCGGUAUUGUCUGUACAGGAUAGGUGGGAGACUUAGAAGCGAGGGCGUCAGCUUUCGUGGAGUCGUCCUUGGGAUACCACCCUGACAGUACUGGAAUUCUAACUGGAGGCCAUGAAUCUGGUCACAGGACAUUGCUAGG